rnacentral:lncRNA from 1 species
AGACAGGGCUGCUGGGCUGCUUUCAGGAAGACCUAUUAUUCAGAUUUUGCAGGCAAAUUGUUGUGGAGUGUGUCAGACCAGCUUGCUGACUGAACAGAAAGCCAGUUUCCAAAAUAAAAAUGGGCUCCUAGCUUGAAAUUUUGAGCAGACUGUAAUUGCCCAGUGACACAGAACCUGCACCUGCAAGACCCCCCAGCCUUUGGGACCAACAUCUUAUGGAAACAUGAGAAACCACUACUUUCUGUGUUUCUGCCUUUUUACAUUUAGGUUUCACUUGACUUCCACCAAAAUCAAUAUGAUUUAAGAGUUGACAUCAGUGGGACCCUUCCUGAAUCUUUCCCGCUCGUUGUUGGGAUAAAAUACAGAAACACUGAAGCAAAGUCCUACAUGACAGACAGUAGGAAGUGAAGGAAUAGAAGAAGAAUCCUGUCCUACUGUGCUCUGAGACAUACAUGUCAAAAUAUACUCCAUAUAAUUCUUCCAGACUUUGCUUGUUUUGAUGAGAGCCUGUAAAACUGAGCUAUCAGUACUACAAUGGAGGUCCUUUGUAAACUAACCAUUUUGAUGCAGGAACUGGUGUAUGCCUAUCUCUAACAGUCUCUUAUAGCGCGAUAUAGCGUGGAGAAAAUGAAGCCUUGAACCGAUUCUUUGCUCAUUGGUGGUAUUCAGUGUCAUACAUGCCACAUAAACCAGCAUUUCAUAUGGAAGUGAAACAAAAUAAGGCCCUGGGUCAACUGCGUUAUCACAAAAAAGCAUUCAGGGAACUGUAAUGCAGUUUCCAUCCCUGUAAGCUUGCAUUAGUUCCCAACCACCACAGAAAUCAGAGUAGGUGAAAAGGUGGUUUAGGGAUGAUUUUGCCUCCUUAAUUCUUCAGAUGGUUCCAAGCCUGCAAGUACUUGCUGUUGCUCACUAGUGCUAUGAUGGUACUUUCUUACCCUGGCCAGCCUGGUCCAGCCAAGCCCUCCUUGAAGAGUGUUACAGUCCACCAGCAGCCACGGAGGAGCUCCUGAGUGAUGGCAUCACUUCCCGCACUUCUCUGCCUCACAGUUUCACCCCACUGAGAACUGCAAUAUUAUUUCAGAAUCUGCUGUCUACAGGGAUUUUACCUGCUCACUAUCUCUGAUCUCUUUGCCCCUCUGUGACUGGGACACCACUCAUGUGCCCAAUGUGUAGAAUCACGUAACCUUGGAAUUACAGAAAUGCUGACUGAAGGGAGCCUGGAAGUCUUUCGUCUGAUCAGGAUUGUCACCAAGACUAGAUCAGGUCAGCUGUGGCUUUGCCUGGAUGAGUCUUGAAAACCUCCAAGGCUGAGAUUCCUCAGCCUCCCUGGAUAACCUGCUCCAGUGUUGCACUGCAAAGAAAUUUUCCUACCCUCGCAAAGCACAGUUUUUAGCCAUUGCCCCUUUUUAUAUCAUCUAUCACCACCAAGAAUAAUUUAGCUCUGUUUUGGCUCUGUUAAGUCCUCUUUGGGUAGUUGUAGCUCACUAUUAGAUUAUUCUUUUGCCUCCCUUUCAUAUGAUUAAAUAACACCAGCUCCCUAAGCCUUUUCUUGCAGGUCAGGUCCUCUAGGCCCUCUUCAUCUUGAUCGACUUUCACUGAACCAGAUUCCCAAAUUCCCUCUUGAACCGAACUGGGCUCCAUUCCAGGUGCAACCUCACCAGCACUGAGGAGACAGGAAUAAAAAAAGAGUGCUGGCCA